UGUCCCCUCAUUCUUGCCACAGGCUAUGAGCCGGCCUGUGACACACCCGUUUCAGCAAACGUGGCAGGAAGGCUGAGGAUAAUGAAGCUAACCCCAAGCUGCUACACGCUGUGGCACAAGAAUGUGAAGAGGUCCGAGGAAAACAAGGGCAUUGCAGUUGGCCAAACUGAAGGAACAAACCAAGAUGGACCGACAGAAGAUAGAACACCUCGAGGAGCGCAUUAAUUACCUGGAGGAGGCCAACAAGGACCUGAAAGCUGACACGGACUUCCUACUGGCCAAAAUUAAGGAAGCUCCCAGCACACUUACAUCUUCUGGGAAAGGCAGAAAGACUGCUCCAGAACCUUCUUCAUCUUCGACUUCAAAAUCGAGAUCUCCCUCCUCAGACUCCAGCUUCUUAUCAUCCUCAGAAGAAGAGAAAAAGGAAAAGGAAGAAGUCCCAAGAAAAAGACCAUUAAGUCAAAAAAACACACUGAAUCAUACAGCCGUUCAAGAAGUAAGCAGAGAUAUUGAUCAUCUUUAUAAUCACCUUUAUAACAAUACUAGAGUUGCCCGCUGCUUAACCUUUUGUGGAUUACAUUUAUAUGAAAGGCAACUACUUCCAUGGGCUUUGUUAAUAAUAGUUACAUGCGACUAAAGGUAAUGUUAUAUUAAUGUCUAGCUAAUGGUAUAUUUUAGUAAUCAUUCUGAAAAUCAGUGAUUGAGAUCUCUACAGCCUUGUCUAGCUCUCCUGAUCUCCUCAAGUUAUUCUAUGAUCUCCUCCAGUUUUGCUAUAUAUCUAACCUCUGAAAAAGAAAAAUAUAAGAAAACAAUUUUACUUACUGUACCAUCCGAGUUCACUGUGCUUCCUCUAUCCAAGCUGGUUAUAUUUUGUACAGGCAGGUAAGAAAGGACAUUACUUCCUGGGCAUCCUCCUUCUAGGCUGGUGAAGGCAGAUAUUGCUAGCCACAGAGUCAGGUAGGAAAGUCUAAUAUAACCAGCCUAGAAGAAGGAUGCAAAAGUAAGGAUCCUUUCUCAUCUGCUACUACUACAAAACCUAUAAAGGUGCCAAAUCAACAAUGCCAGUACAUGCCUGAAAAACUGACCUAUUUUGUUUGUUUUUCUGUUGUGUUCUUAAGUAACCACAACAGAUGGAGUGAUCCGGCGCUAUAAGGAUGUCCUUAAGUGUGGAUCCAUGAAGAAAGCCUUUGCGAAAAUGAAUGUCGAUCAAAACACAAUUGCAGGCACAGCUAUAAUUGCUGAGCUAACAAUUACCUUUCAGGACGCGUUCCAAGGUCUGCUGACAAGUAAAGAUGAAAUGAAGAUUUGUGUUCCUGCAGAGCGUUGUCGCGGGGCCAUAAACGAGGAGAUGGCCGAAACCAUCACAGCAUGCAAAAAAAUGGAAAGCUCCUCCCAAUAAUGUAUAAAUAUACUUAAGAAUAUUCAUUUUGUUCACACUUGUUUACAUUUUGUUAAACAAUUGUUUAAACUUGUUAAACUUUGUUAAAAAUCUGUUUAUAUACACAAUACAUGCAGGAAUUUUGGAUGUUUGUUUUUUCUGCUUCAUCUUAAGAUGAUGGAGUGGCAUCACAACAAAAUGUUUUGUGUUGAAAUACAGGAAAAACAACUUGUCUGUUGCUUUUGUUAAGGUAUUAUUAUCAUCUGACAGUGUGAUAACACUUAAUGACAUUUUAACGAAACAUUCAAAUCGUUCCACUUUACUUGAAUACAGUCAUGACACUGUCAUAAACUGGUUUGACUAUGUAAUUGCACAUGAUAUCUUGAUGCAAAGUUAAAAUCAUUAAAUCACUGUAGGAGGGAAAUGGGAAACAUUUAUGACACAAUUGUAAUGGUUUUUUGACAGCGAAUGUCAAAACCAUCAAUAUAUGACGGUUUAAUGCCGCUCUAAGAGAUGAAGCCAAACAUUUUGCUUAAGUUUGACAGUUAGGUCUGUUAUGGCAUGUUAAUGACAUGUUAAUGACAGGUUUUGUUGUCUUGGUUUAUGUCAAGUUGUCAUAACAAGGACAUCUCAAACAAUGUCACCUUUGCAUCAAAAGUGACAUAACUUACCGAAUGACACUUAACGACAACUGUCAUAAGUUAUUGAUAUGUAUGACAGCUGUCAUGUCAUGCUUAUGACAAUGUUAUGUCAGCCUUAUAAACACCCAUUCAAGUAAAGUGUUACCGAUAAGGCCAAAUGUAAAGUCCUCGUGAGAAAUCAAGUGCCUGACUAGCACUCAGCUUGUUUGACAUUGACAGCCCUAAUUUUUAUAUAUAUAUAUA